UACGAAGGACCCGAGCGUUAUCCGGAUUUAUUGGGUUAAAGGGUGCGUAGGCGGAUUUAUAAGUCAGUGGUGAAAUCUCCCCGCUCAACGGGGAAACUGCCAUUGAAACUAUUUAUCUUGAGUACAUUUGAGGCGGGCGGGAAUGUGUCAUGUAGAGGUGAAAUUCUUAGAUAUGACACAGAACACCAAUUGCGAAGGCAGCUCGCUAAACUGUAACUGACGCUGAGGCACGAAAGCGUGGGGAGUCAAACAGG
rnacentral:rRNA from 1 species